GCUGGCUAUGGUAGCGCAUGCCUGUAAUCCCAGCGGCUUGGGAGGCUGAGGCAGGAGGAUCACAAUUUAAAGCCAGUCUCAGCAAUUUAGUGAGGCCCUAAGCAACUUGACAAGACCCUGUCUCAA
rnacentral:sRNA from 1 species